rnacentral:rRNA from 1 species
AAAUUAAUUUGCUUUUAGCUUAUUAACAUAGAAUAAUUACUAAUGAUUUGAUAAAGUGUUGAUAGAUUUUAUUAUAUAUAAUGCUGAAAUUCUUUUGAAUUUUACAAUAAUUUUAAAAUCUAUGAUUUUAUUAUUAAUUGUAUGCAUUUAUAUGAUUAACAAUGCGAAAGAUUCAGGAUACCUUCGGGACCCGUCUUGAAACNCGGANCAAGGAGUCUAACAUAUGUGCAAGUCAUUGGGUCAUUUUAAACCUAAUGGCGUAAUUAACUUAACUGUUAAUAUCUUANUGGGAUUAGUUUUUAGUCUANUUUUAAUAGUCUAUUAAUUCAAUCCCGGGGCGUUCCAUAUANUUAUGUAUAAUGAUAAUUUAUUAUUAUUUAUACCUCUAACUGGAGCGUACCUUGAGCAUAUAUGCUGGGACCCG